rnacentral:rRNA from 1 species
AUUGAACGCUGGCGGCAUGCCUUACACAUGCAAGUCGAACGGUAACAGGUCUUCGGAUGCUGACGAGUGGCGAACGGGUGAGUAAUACAUCGGAACGUGCCUAGUAGUGGGGGAUAACUACUCGAAAGAGUGGCUAAUACCGCAUGAGAUCUACGGAUGAAAGCAGGGGAUCGCAAGACCUUGUGCUACUAGAGCGGCCGAUGGCAGAUUAGGUAGGUGGUGGGAUAAAAGCUUACCAAGCCGACGAUCUGUAGCGGGUCUGAGAGGACGAUCAGCCACACGGGGACUGAGAAACGGCCCAGACUCCUACGGGAGGCAGCAGUGGGGAAUUUUGGACAAUGGGCGAAAGCCUGAUCCAGCAAUGCCGCGUGCAGGAUGAAGGCCUUCGGGUUGUAAACUGCUUUUGUACGGAACGAAAAGCCCCGGGUUAAUACCCUGGGGUCAUGACGGUACCGUAAGAAUAAGCACCGGCUAACUACGUGCCAGCCGCCGCUGUAA